UUUCUCUUUGUAGCGUCGUUGGUGACCUGUAAUUGAAGGUCGAGGGUUAAGGGUACCACCUCAACAAGUUCCGGCAGCCGGUGCAGGCCAUCCAUGGAGGAGGGGCAAGCUGCAGCGAGGAGGGACUGCGCCGGCCACAGAGCUGGAGGCCCGUCAGCCGCGGGGAAGGAGCGCGCCGGCCGCGGGGAGGGAGGGCGCUGGCCGCAAAAGAGGAUGGGUGUCGACCACGGGUUGGGAGAGCGCCGGCCGCGGAGGAGGGGCGCCGGCGACGCGGGUCGUGGGGGUGGUGAUGGCACGCUUUUGUUAUCGGGGCCUGGUGGCGUUGAGGUUGGAGGUUGGGUCUCCGGCGGCGCCGCCAUUGGUGGUCUGGGCUCGGCGGCGGCGCGCUUGAAGGUCGGGACUCCGGCGGCGGCGUAGUUGGUGGUCCGGACUCCAGCGGCAGCGCGGUUGGACGUCGACGUGGGGGCGGCGGCGGCCAGGUGGAUGGCGGCACGGGGGCGGCGGCGGCCAGGUGGAUGGCGGCGCGGGGGCGGCGGUGGCCAGGUGGAUGGCGGCACGGGGCGAUGGAG
rnacentral:lncRNA from 1 species